rnacentral:tRNA from 1 species
GCGGGGAUAGCUCAGCCUGGGAGACUAGGUAAAACUAGCCCAAAAGCGCCGCACUGAAGAUGCGGUUGUCGAGGGUUCAAAUCCCUCUCCCCGCACCA